rnacentral:rRNA from 1 species
UACGUAGGGUGCAAGCGUUGUCCGGAAUUAUUGGGCGUAAAGAGCUCGUAGGCGGUUUGUCGCGUCUGCUGUGAAAACUCGGGGCUUAACCCCGGGCCUGCAGUGGGUACGGGCAGACUAGAGUGCGGUAGGGGAGACUGGAAUUCUUGGUGUAGCGGUGAAAUGCGUAGAUAUCAAGAGGAACACCUGAGGUGAAGACGGGUUGCUGGGCUGACACUGACGCUGAGGCGCGAAAGCCAGGGGAGCAAACGGG